GGACGAACGCUGGCGGCGUGCUUAACACAUGCAAGUCGAGCGGAAAUAUAUUGAAGAUUCGUCGGAUAUAUAUUUAGCGGCGGACGGGUGAGUAACGCGUGGGCAAUCUGCCUCACACAGGGGAAUAACACUGGGAAACUAGUGCUAAUACCGCAUGAUAUAGUGAAGUGGCAUCACUUUACUAUCAAAGGAGCAAUCCGGUGUGAGAUGAGCCCGCGUCCGAUUAGCUAGUUGGUGAGGUAACGGCCCACCAAGGCGACGAUCGGUAGCCGAACUGAGAGGUUGAUCGGCCACAUUGGGACUGAGACACGGCCCAGACUCCUACGGGAGGCAGCAGUGGGGAAUAUUGCGCAAUGGGGGAAACCCUGACGCAGCAACGCCGCGUGAAGGAUGAAGGUUUUCGGAUUGUAAACUUCUUUGAUUGGGGACGAUAAUGACGGUACCCAAAAAACAAGCCACGGCUAACUACGUGCCAGCAGCUGC
rnacentral:rRNA from 1 species